ensembl:antisense
GGAACUGGCUGGCACACAGUGGAUCUCUUCCUUAGCUACCUCCUGUUGUUGGUUGUGUAUAUCUAAACGGAAAAUGACAGCCAGAAAACACCAUGAGAAAGAAAGCAACUGCUCUAAUGAGUAGAGCAGGUGAAUGUGGAGCGGGUAAUUCCCGGGAAUAUGUCUUCACACCUAGAAGUCAGACCACCCUGGGUUGCUGAGAUGCAGAAGCUCGCCCAGCAGCUUCACAGUGUCCAGGGGAUUUUUCUAGAAAAAAAAAAAAUGUUGCGAAUGAA